AAAAUUGAAGGUCUAAUCUGCCCAAUGAUAUUUGAAUGGCCGCGGUAACUUGACCGUGCAAAGGUAGCAUAAUUAUUAGUCUUUUAAUUGAAGGCUUGAAUGAAAGAUUGGAUGAAAAAUAAACUUUAUUAAUAUAAAUUAUUUAAUUUAUCAUUUAAGUAAAAAUUCUUAAAUAUAUAAGUGGGACGAGAAGACCCUAUAGAGUUUUAUUUUUAUUUUUAUUAUUAAAUUCAAGAAUUAUUAUUUUUAUAUUAAAAAUAAAUUUUUUAUUGGGGUGAUAUUAAAAAUUUAUUAACUUUUAAUUAAUAUUUCAUUAAUAUAUGUAUAAUUGAUCCAAAAAAUUUUGAUUAUAAGACUUAAUUACCUUAGGGAUAACAGCGUUAUUAAUCUGAAGAGUUCAAAUCGAUAGAUUUGUUUGCGACCUCGAUGUUGGAUUAAGAAUAAAUUUUGAAGAAGUAUUUAAUAUUAUAGGUCUGUUCGACCUUUAAAUUCUUACG
rnacentral:rRNA from 1 species